GCCUUGGUGGUGUAGUGGUCAAGAUGCUCGUAUGGUAAAUAGGAGCGCCUGGGUUCAAUUCCAGCCGAGGCA
rfam:Asian citrus Psyllid, Diaphorina citri - Florida Strain, whole genome shotgun sequence.